AAGGACUUAGGAUAACACUAAAACCAAGAGCCUUCAAAGCCCUAAACGGGGGUGAAAAUCCCCCAGUCCUUG
rnacentral:tRNA from 1 species